UCCUUGUAAAGGAUCACAAAGGAGUCGAAGGGACCCCGGGCCACUGUCCAGGACAGGCGCAGGGAGUCUGGGGUCACACCAGUUACAGUCAGUUCGCCGAGGCGGGGCGGCUCCGAGGACUCCUCUUUCGGCUCUGAGGCUCUACCAGGACUCCAGGUAACCCUGAGGUCUGCCAGACUCUACCAGACACCUUCUGUCUGUCCUUCAGCUCUUCUCGCCUGCGACCUAGCGGCACCACUCACGGCUGCCAUAAGGACCUGUGUUGGUUCAAGGAUGCUCUGAGUGGGGGCUGGAGAGAUGGCUCAGAGAGAUGGCUCACUGACUGCUCUUCCAGAGGUCCUGAGUUUAAUUCCCAGCAACCACAUGGUGGCUCGCAACCAUCUGUAAUGGGAUCUGAUGCCCUCUUCUGGUGUGUCUGAAGACAGCGACAGUGUACUCUUAUGCAUAAAAUAAAUAAAUCUUUUUUUAAAAAUGCUG